rnacentral:rRNA from 1 species
GCCUAAAGCGUCCGUAGCCGGUUAGACAAAUGCCUUGUGAAAUUGUGGGGCCUAACCUCACAACGUGCAAGGUAGACUAUCUGACUUGGGACUGGAAGAGGUUGACGGUAUUCAAGGGGGAGCGGUAAAAUGUUAUAAUCCCUUGAGGACCACCGAUGGCGAAGGCAGUCAACCAGUACAGCUCCGACGGUGAGGGAUGAAAGCUAGGGGAGCGAUCCGGAUUAGAUACCCGAGUAGUCCUAGCCGUAAACGCUGCGUGCCAGAUGUUGCAUCAUCUUCGAGAUGAUGCAGUGUCGUAAUGAAGAUGUUAAGCACGCCACCUGGGGAGUACGGUCGCAAGGCUGAAACUUAAAGGAAUUGGCGGGGGAGCACUACAAGGCGUGCGGCGUGCGGUUUAAUUCAAUUCAACGCGGGAAACCUUACCAAGGGCGACGGCAGAAUGAAGGUCAGUCUAAAGGGCUUACCUGACGAGCCGAGAGGUGGUGCAUGCCCAUCGUCAGCUCGUGCUGUGAAGUGUCCUGUUAAGUCAGGUAACGAGCGAGAUCUGUAUCCAUACUUGCUAACGGAUUCGUAAGAACGACCGAGCACAGUAUGGAGACUGCCUUCGAAAGGAGGAGGAAGGUGCAGGCAACGAUAGGUCAGUAUGCCCCGAA